UACAGAGGGCUCAAGCGUUGUUCGGAUUCAUUGGGCGUAAAGGGUGCGUAGGUGGCGGGGCAAGUCUGGUGUGAAAUCCCGGGGCUCAACCCCGGAACUGCACUGGAUACUGCCUUGCUAGAGCACUGGAGAGGGAACUGGAAUUUACGGUGUAGCAGUGAAAUGCGUAGAUAUCGUAAGGAAGACCAGUGGCGAAGGCGAGUUCCUGGACAGUUGCUGACACUGAGGCACGAAGGCUAGGGGAGCAAACGGG
rnacentral:rRNA from 1 species